rnacentral:rRNA from 1 species
AGAUUAAGUUAUUAAGGGCGCACGGUGGAUGCCUUGGCACUAGAAGCCGAUGAAGGACGUUACUAACGACGAUAUGCUUUGGGGAGCUGUAAGUAAGCUUUGAUCCAGAGUUUUCCGAAUGGGGAAACCCAGCAUGAGUUAUGUCAUGUUAUCGAUAUGUGAAUACAUAGCAUAUCAGAAGGCACACCCGGAGAACUGAAACAUCUUAGUACCCGGAGGAAGAGAAAGAAAAUUCGAUUCCCUUAGUAGCGGCGAGCGAAA